rfam:Picea glauca, whole genome shotgun sequence.
AGGUGUGAUCAUACAAGCAUUAAAGAACUGGAUCCCAUCAGAACUCGACAAUUAUGUGUGCUUGGGCUAGAGUAGUACAAGGAUGGGUGACCUCCCGGAAAGUCCUAGUGUUGCACCCU